rnacentral:lncRNA from 1 species
CCGUGCCCCAGCUUUGUGGAACCUGAGGGCGGCUCGGGUCAGGUCGGUCCCCGCGGGAGGACAGGCGCGACCCGUCCCUCAGGACCGACGGCGUGUGGCUGCGGGGGCAUGGGGUGCCCCUCUCGGCCCGGUCGCUCCAGCGAGGGGACGCUGAGCCCCAGCUUUUAAAGGCUUCAUAUUCCUGACAAAUGGAGAUCCACUGACAUGAAGAAAUUCUCAAGCAACUAGGCAACUGGGAUUGUGCAGGGGCUUGCCCCUGAUCCUAUAGUAAAAGGUCCAGCCCUCACUAGCUGAAGGUGAGGAGGAAUUUCAUUGGGGAAAUGUCAUUCUUUGUUUC